rnacentral:rRNA from 1 species
UACGAGCCACGGCAUACAGCUCAGUAACACGUGGCUAACCUGCCCUUGGGACGAGAAUACCCCCGGGAAACUGGGGCUAAUUUUCGAUAGGCGAAGAACUCUGGAAUGAGUCUUCACUUAAAAGGGCCUACGUUAUGCUCGUAGGUUUCGCCCAAGGAUGGGGCCGCGACCGAUCAGGUUGUUGGUGAGGUAAUGGCUCACCAAGCCUUUUACCGGUGCGGGCCGUGGGAGCGGGAGCCCGGAGAUGGGCACUGAGACAAGGGCCCAGGCCCUACGGGGCGCAGCAGUCGCGAAAACUUUGCAAUAAGCGAAAGCUUGACAGGGCUAUCCCGAGUGCCAUCCGCUGAGGAAGGCUUUUACCCAGUCUAGAACGCUGGGGGAAUAAGGAGAGGGCAAGUCUGGUGUCAGCCGCCGCGGUAAUACCAGCUCUCCGAGUGGUGUGGAUGUUUAUUGGGCCUAAAGCAUCCGUAGCUGGCUAAGUUAGUCCCUUGUUAAAUCCACCGAAUUAAUCGUUGGAUUGCGGGGGAUACUGCUUGGCUAGGGGACGAGAGAGGCAGACGGUAUUUUCGGGGUAGGGGUGAAAUCCUAUAAUCCCGGGAAGACCACCAGUGGCGAAGGCUGUCUGCUAGAACGCGCCCGACGGUGAGGGAUGAAAGCUGGGGGAGCGAACCGGAUUAGAUACCCGGGUAGUCCCAGCUGUAAACGAUGCAGGCUAGGUGUUUGGACGGCCACGUGCCGUUCUAGUGCCGCAGGGAAGCUGUUAAGCCUGCCGCCUGGGGAGUACGAUCGCAAGAUUGAAACUUAAAGGAAUUGGCGGGGGAGCACCACAAGGGGUGAAGCUUGCGGUUUAAUUGGAGUCAACGCCGGA